GAUGAACGCUGGCGGCGUGCCUAAUACAUGCAAGUCGAGCGAACAGAUAAGGAGCUUGCUCCUUUGAAGUUAGCGGCGGACGGGUGAGUAACACAUGGGUAACCUACCUAUAAGACUGGGAUAACUUCGGGAAACCGGAGCUAAUACCGGAUAACAUUUAGAACCGCAUGGUUCUAAAGUGAAAGAUGGUUUUGCUAUCACUUAUAGAUGGACCCGCGCCGUAUUAGCUAGUUGGUAAGGUAACGGCUUACCAAGGCGACGAUACGUAGCCGACCUGAGAGGGUGAUCGGCCACACUGGAACGGAGACACGGUCCAGACUCCUACGGGAGGCAGCAGUAGGGAAUCUUCCGCAAUGGGCGAAAGCCUGACGGAGCAACGCCGCGUGAGUGAUGAAGGGUUUCGGCUCGUAAAACUCUGUUAUUAGGGAAGAACAAAUGUGUAAGUAACUGUGCACAUCUUGACGGUACCUAAUCAGAAAGCCACGGCUAACUACGUGCCAGCCGCCGCCGUAA
rnacentral:rRNA from 1 species